GCACGGGUGCGUAACACGUAUGUAACCUACCCUUAUCAGGGGGAUAGCCUCUCGAAAGAGAGAUUAAGCCCGCAUAAUAUGAAGACACAGCAUUGUGAUUUCAUCAAAUAUUUAUAGGAUAAGGAUGGGCAUGCGGAACAUUAGCUAGUUGGUGCGGUAAUGGCGUACCAAGGCUACGAUGUUUAGGGGAUCUGAGAGGAUGACCCCCCACACUGGUACUGAGACACGGACCAGACUCCUACGGGAGGCAGCAGUAAGGAAUAUUGGUCAAUGGGCGGAAGCCUGAACCAGCCAUGCCGCGUGCAGGAAGACGGCCCUACGGGUUGUAAACUGCUUUUAUACCGGAAUAAACCCCCGAACGAGUUCGGGGUUGAAUGUACGGUAAGAAUAAGGAUCGGCUAACUCCGUGCCAGCAGCCGCGGUAAUACGGAGGAUCCAAGCGUUAUCCGGAUUUAUUGGGUUUAAAGGGUGCGUAGGCGGCCUAUUAAGUCAGGGGUGAAAGACGGUAGCUUAACUAUCGCAGUGCCUUUGAUACUGAUGGGCUUGAAUGUACUUGAGGGUAGGCGGAAUGUGACAAGU
rnacentral:rRNA from 1 species